rnacentral:rRNA from 1 species
CCCUUAGAUGUUCUGGGCCGCACGCGCGCUACACUGAUGCAUUCAACGAGUCUAAAACCUGGUCUGAUAGGGCUGGGUAAUCUUUUGAAUGUGCAUCGUGAUUGGGAUAGAUGAUUGCAAUUCUUCAUCUUCAACGAGGAGUGCCUAGUAAACGCAAGUCAUCAGCUUGCAUUGAUUACGUCCCUGCCCUUUGUACACACCGCCCGUCGCUCCUACCGAUUGAAUGUUCCGAUGAAUACCAUGGACUGAGAGUAUGAAUGGGUUCGCCUAUUUCUGCUUCUCGGGAAGUGGAGUAAAUCUUAACAUUUAGAGGAAGGAGAAGUCGUAACA